CCCCUCUUAGGGUUGUACUUGGAGAGUUUCCAGUACUCUACCAGUCUUGACUAUGGGAGGGAGAGUCAAGAAGAGGCAUAUCCAUUCCAUUCCUAGCCUGGGCAGUGGCUAGUGAGUGGAAGGGAAUCUGCUACAAGU